CAAAAAUACGCCUAGGUACAUUUCUGUGCUGUGGCAUCGCUCAUAGUGAUACGUGACUUCGAGAAUUAUACAAGGAAACAUCUGUUAUUUGUUUAAUAUGUUGCUUCAUUUGACGAAUUAAU
rnacentral:lncRNA from 1 species